AUACGGAGGAUCCGAGCGUUAUCCGGAUUUAUUGGGUUUAAAGGGUGCGCAGGCGGCCAUUUAAGUCAGCGGUUAAAUCGUGGGGCUCAACCCCAUUCUGCCGUUGAUACUGGGUGGCUUGAUUGCGGUCGAGGUUGGCGGAAUUCGUUGUGUAGCGGUGAAAUGCAUAGAUAUGACGAAGAACACCGAUUGCGUAGGCAGCUGACCAGACCGCAAAUGACGCGCAUGCUCGAAAGUGCGGGGAUCGAACAGGAUUAGAUACCCUGGUAGUCCGCACAGUAAACGAUGAAUACUUGUUUUCGGCGAUAUAAUGUCGGAGGCAAAGCGAAAGCGAUAAGUAUUCCACCUGGGGAGUACGCCGGCAACGGUGAAACUCAAAUGAAUUGACGGGG
rnacentral:rRNA from 1 species